GUGGGGAAUCUUCCGCAAUGGACGAAAGUCUGUCGGAGCAACGCCGCGUGAGUGAAGAAGGUUUUCGGAUCGUAAAGCUCUUUCGUUAGGGACGAACGUGCUCUUUGUGAAUAAUGAGGAGUAAUGACGGUACCUAAAUAAGAAGCCACGGCUAACUACGUGCCAGCAGCCGCGGUAAUACGUAGGUGGCAAGCGUUGUCCGGAAUUAUUGGGCGUAAAGCGCGCGCAGGCGGGAUAUCAAGUCUGUCUUAAAAGUGCGAGGCUCAACCUCGUGAGGGGACAGAAACUGGUAUUCUUGAGUGUCGGAGAGGAAAGUGGAAUUCCAAGUGUAGCGGUGAAAUGCGUAGAGAUUUGGAAGAACACCAGUGGCGAAGGCGACUUUCUGGACGAUGUCUGACGCUGAGGCGCGAAAGCUAGGGGAGCGAACGGGAUUAGAAACCCUGGUAGUCC
rnacentral:rRNA from 1 species